rnacentral:lncRNA from 12 species
AUGAAUGCUAUAAAUGCUAUGCAACUGUUCUUUUUGGUUUGGACCUUUACUGCUGUCUGUCAAGCUGAUAAAGAUAUCAGUGUAAGCUGUGAGGAUGUGACUGGAUCUGUGGGGAAAGAAGUCAAUCUCACCUGCAGCGUCUCUCUGCUGAUAAAUAAAUGCUGCAUUAAAAAUUAUAUGUUUGAAUAUAAAGACUCAAAAAUCUGUAGACAAGUGCUUCGUGAAUCCUGUGAACGGAGGAAAAGCGUCACAUGCAGCUACACUCCAACUACAAAAGUGACAGAAAAAUUCUCCUUCUUUGUGCAAGCGUCGUGUGGAUGGAAGAAACUCAGUUUCACUGUUGACACAACAGGUACUGCAUUUACCGUAACAUUUUUGUUUAGAAUUAAGUAAAUAUUUGCAAAUGUACAUUUAUGUUCAAUCUACUAACAAUGGUUUAAAAACUAUUAACAGGGGUCAUGGUACAACUCUUGGUAAUACAGUUAUUAUAUAUUUAAUAUAACCACUGAUUAUUUCUUCAGUUUACUUAGGACUUAACAAAGCAAGAUCAUCUCCACCAGAGACAGCAGCGGGUCUUGGAUUCAAGGAUACUGUCAUCAGUGUGGCUGUGAGCGGUUUAAUCAUCUUCCUCAUCAUCAUCAUCAUCAUGACAAUCAUGUACAAAACAAAACCAAACUUCACCAAACUUUCAGAACAAGAUGUUACUGUUUGUCAGACAUGAUGAGGACAGCAGCAAUCACCCAGAUAUAUAAGGAUUAAGUCAGCAGUAUGAAACUACUGACUUUGUUUGAUUUUCCCUAUGGUGCUCACAAAAGACACACGCUUUAUUAUAUCUGAAACUUAAUAUAUAACUCUGGCUGUACACUGUAAAACAAUUUGACCAUAAAUUCACAGUAAAUUACUGGCUGCUAGUUGCAUUACUUUCACCGUAAUUUACUGUAUGUAAAUUCACAGUAAAUUACUGUAAACUAGUUACAUUACUUUCACAGUAAGAUACUGUAUCAUUUUUACAGUAAAUAAUUGUGAAAUGACAGCUGUAUACUGUGACCUCACGGUAGUUAUUCCAUACUGUGAUUUGGCAGUAUGCUCCUGUAGAAUUACUGAUUUAGCUGUGAAGUUACAGUUAAUGCCAUCAGAUUACUGCAAUUUAGCAGUAUUCUGCUGUAGAAUUACAGUGUAAACUGAAAUAGUUGUGCAAAUCAGUAGCCAGUGAUAUGCUUUUAAUUUAUUAUACAAUGUAUUGUUAAUUAACAACUUUUAAUUUAAAAUAUUGUUAAUUUAGUAUAAAAUACUGUUGUUUUGAAAUCUGAUCUUUUAACCCAUCACUGGAAAGAUAUGUUCAAUUCAAAUAAACACAAAAUAUUUCGUACAUUUAUUUUGCCAUUUAAUAAAUCCUGUCUAAACUUUCCAGCAAAGAGGUUCAGAUGAUCAUGCUUCUCUCCAUUGAACCAGGACACACUAUAGAACAUAUUCAGGGAUCAUCUUACUGCAUGACCACAUCUUCAGCAUACUUCAAACUGAAAUGGCAAAAAUGGCAGCCAGACCAGUGAUGAAAUCAGCUUGUCUCUCCAAUGUCAGCAUCCAUGCCCUCGACUUCAUUGUGUCACCUGAAACAAAAACAGAUACACUGUUACCGACUGUUCAGAAAAGAAAACAAGAUUUAUUUACUAUUUAUUUAUUUAGUGAAAAGCGUAGUGUGGUGGCAUACUCUAACUACUGAAAUUCAGAUGACUACUUUUAAAAGAAAAUAAUUGCAGUCCACCUUAUUUUUCAACCUGGACAUAAGACGUUUUCUGUAAAUGUACGAGACUUCCGGUUCAUUAGCCGCUGUAGGGAAAUAAAAUUAAGUAAAAGGUAAAACUGUUUGCACUACAAACCAGUGUGUUCAUAAUUAAAAUAAUACAUUAAAAUAAUAUGGUAAGACAACACCAAUUAGCAAGUUUAAGCAGCACAACAUGCUGCUUACAGCUAAAAAUACCUGGAAGCAGAUGAGACUGGAAGUCAAUAUUUUUUAUAUAUCUUUUUUACAUUUUAAAAAUUCUUUUAGUUUUAAAAUAAGGUGAAUAAAUUCUAAAUGAAAAAAACAUUCAGGAGAAAUGCUUUCUCUCCUCUUAGUACCAGUAAGCAACCUCGCAGCUGCAUUCUGGACCAACUGCAAGCGAUGAAUGAUUGAGACCCAUAUAAAGCGCACUGCAAUAAUCAAGUCUGGAAGUGAUGAAGGCAUGAGUAACUAUUUCCAAAUCCUUAAAAGUGAGCAUAGAUUUUAAUUUAGCUAUUUAUCUUAGUUGGAAAAAAAGCACUUAUCUGCUUUUCAAAAUUCAGAUCAGUAAGUUUUUAGCAAAAGGAUGAAUGUUUGAUGAUGAUAGAAUCUAGAUUAAUAGUGAUAUCAGAGACAGCGCCUGGGGGUCCAAAGACAACAAUCUCAGCUUUGCUCUCAUUUAGUUGUAGAAAGAAAUACAGAUUUAAAACCACAACAAGAAAUAAUAGUUUAAUAGCUAUGAUACAGAUACUCUUGAAAUCAAAUAUUUGCAAAACUAUGACAGAAAACACUGGCAUCUAACAGUUAAUCUUUAAAAAAAUAAAAAUAAAAAAGCAUAUACAUGAACCCAUAUAGGAAAUAAAAGUUAUCAUACGAAACAGGUCCUAUUCUGUGUCCUAAACUCCUGAAACAUUGCUAUCUUAUAUUUUAGAGCAGUCAAUGCGAUUUGGGAAAUAAAUGAAUUAAAUCUUUACAUUUUCAUAAGUAACAGUAAUUCAAUAACACAUUUUUUUCUCUCUGUAACUGAUUACAGUUACAAAUAUUUUGUAAUUAAAUGACGUAAUUUCCCUUGAAUGUAAUUAGUUACUCCCCAACACUGCUAACCAGCAUAUGCUGGGGUUUUUUUUAGGGAUGCAGCUGCUUGUUUUUCAUGUGGGAUGUUUGCUAAAAACAUGACAUCAUUUUUAGCACUGGCCUAAAUGGGGAAAAAAAAAAAAAAAACACUUUCCUACAAAUCAAACUUGCUAUAUGUGCACAGCUUUAAAGCAUGCUUCUCAUGCCAGUGUAGUUGAACAACUGCACUCAAGCAGAAAUAAAAAUAGAUAGGAGUACCUCACACAUACUGUGCGGUGACUCAAAAUUUUCCCUUCUUCCCAUAAUAAGGGAGUCUCCAGACAAAACAAGGGGGAAUAUAGCUGCAACCAGUAAACAUGCCAAGCACUACAGAAGCAAGCAAGGCAGAAAGCAUCAGAGCAACUGUAGCAAUGAGUAACUGACGCCAUUUAAGAUGAUUUUAGUCAAAAUGGCUGAAAAAGCAUAAAUACAACCACUAGUAAUAUGAUUUAAUGUCUUAUCACUUUUGACCAGUAGGUGGCGCUAUUAUCAAAUCAAUGUGGUGUGUUCUGUGCGAGGUGACAAUGGCACACACAAAGUUCAGUAUGUCAAAGUGUCAGUAUGUCAAAGCUUUGCAGAGAUACGGCCUCAGACGCGUCAAAUUUGGUGAAAAUGGAAUUUGGAAAAAGGAAAAAGGAAUUGGAAAAAGUAGGUUUUCAAUAUGAAUCAAAAUGGCAAACAGGAAGUUCGGCUGACUAUGGCAAAAUUGGUAUAUAUAUAAUAUAUUGAGACCGGUUUCAUUACAAUAGGCUAAUGUACUCAAAAGUUAUUAGCAUUUUUGGAGAUUUCACUAUAACGUUUGCCCACAAGGUGGUGCUGCCACGAAACUGUUUGAGUACCGUCAGACACAUGUUCAGUUUCGUAGCUAUAGGCCAAUGCAUUCAUAAAAUAUCCGCAAGUUUCCUACGCCCCACGAGGCCUUGGAGUGUCUUCCGGUUCAAAGUAAAUAAGUG